UGAUCAAAAUCAAAAGCUUAGAGAACAGUGUUUCUGCAGAAAUUUUGAACAAGCUGGCAAUAGUAAGGCCAUGUUAUGAGCCUCCAGGACACUGAAGUCAUUUAGGUCCUGAAAAUGGCUACAACA